rnacentral:rRNA from 1 species
UUCGCAAUGCCCGAAAGGGUGACGAAGCGACGCCGCGUGUGGGAAGAAGGCCUUCGGGUUGUAAACCACUGUUGGGAGUUAGGAAGUGUGGAGGUGUUAAUAGCGCUUUCACUUGACUAAAGCUCCAGAGGAAGCCACGGCUAACUCUGUGCCAGCAGCCGCGGUACUACAGAGGCGGCAAGCGUUGUUCGGAAUUAUUGGGCGUAAAGAGCACGUAGGCGGCUCUGCAAGUCAGCUGUGAAAGCCUUCUGCUUAACGGAAGAACGGCAGUUGAAACUACAGGGCUUGAGUGCGGGAGGGGAGAGUGGAACUUCUGGUGGAGCGGUGAAAUGCGUAGAUAUCAGAAGGAACGCCGGCGGCGAAAGCGGCUCUCUGGUCCGUAACUGACGCUGAGUGUGCGAAAGCUAGGGGAGCAAACGGGAUUAGAUACCCCGGUAGUCCUAGCCGUAAACGAUGGGCACUAAGUAGAGGGGUUUU